GGUGGUUUGCUGUGUAGCUGGUGAUGCCUGCAGGCAGUCCUCGGUUGCCCAGGAAACACAGAUGGUGGAUGAAGGGCGCGCAUACAAAAGACCAUAAACCUGUGGCAGCAGCUGGAGACCGAGACCACUGAUUAAUUCAGGUCUGUGCAGUCCCCCUUUUAGUCAAAGACGUCUCUGUUCUCUUUUAAUACCUCCCAUCCAUUUCCUUUGUCCCGGGGCUUCCGUCUCCACUUUAUCCUGUUUUAUUCCCUGGACUGGUCUCCACGUCAGUGCGCAGCUGUUGUUGGCACUCCCACAUCUGCUUGUCUCCGGCUCGGCAGCCAUGUAGACGACGGUCUCCUGUUAGUGCGCAGCGUGCAGGUCCAGAGGGCGACCAGCCUUUUUACUGCGGGCUCAUCACUGCACACACACGGCGUGUAUAUCUGCAGCUUUGCCCUCAGCAUGGAAGAAGAAGAAGAAGAAGAAGAGGAAGAAGAAGUGAUCUUUUCGCACCGUUUGAUGCUGCAGGACAGGUGCAUGAUGGAACCUGGAGAUCACUGGUGAUCUUGUGGUCGGUGUUACUGGAUUCAUCUAUACAGAGCUACUGACGUGUCACCAGUCAGGACACUGGGAGGAUCCAAAUGGGAACCAACAACAGGACAGGUUAUGUGUACAGGCUGGAUUAUAUUUCUUAGUUUUUAAUGGCACACAUAUAUCAGAUGAAGAAAAAGCAUUACUCAUCUCAUUACUUAUUCAGUUAGAUUACUGAUUCUGUGACUUAUAUCUUUUGGCAGUGGGUGUACUUCAGUCUCAUUUGUCUUAAAUUAAAAAAAAAGAAGUAAGAGGAGAAAGAAUAUAAUGAAAGAACAGGUAAUCCCUGGGGUAUCUUUGGAGGACAGUUGGGUUGCGUCCCACUUUUCUGCUGCUUUGUGUUGUGUGUUCCUCUCCAGUUACACUGAUGAAAGAGCAGACCUGUGGGCUCGCGCCGGACCUCACGAGCGGCAUGACUCCAUCGCCCUCUGCUGUGCUGCCUCGCAGACUGUGAUCGAUGAAUGGUUCCAUUAACUGCUGUCCUGGACCCGCAGAAGGAGAUGAUCCACGUCCAAGUGUUUCCACACUGAGAGACGACUUCUGACGCUUUUGUGUACCAGUGAAAAGGGCUUUGAAGAGUUCAAAAAGCUAUCACUAAUGUGUAGUCGGUGUCAGCACGAUCAGAUUUAACAGGAAGAGAUUUCAUGGGUGGUGUUUUGAGACUAAAUAAUUUGCUGCAGCGUUCCUCCCUGUUUCUCUCAAAUUAUGCAUAUUUUCCGGGGCUGUGAGUAAUACUAAUAUAGCUUCAUCCACCCCCACUCUCAUGUUGUUGUUUUUUGGCAGAUCACAAACACAGAUACUGCAGCCACCGCUUGUUUUCUUCAGCUGCCAUGUGCAGUGACCUCUUUGCUCCAUUACCUUAGUUAGUCUGUUUAACACUUUGGCCACUUCUCCCCGCAUGAGACUCUUUAAAUUCACUAGGAGUGGUGUUUUAACCUGUGUUAACUUCUCACUGAAGCUAGCAUGUAUCUAUGCCAGAUCCAGAACCGAAAAGCUCUGAUAUUUUAAGCCUGUAAAAUCUGCUUUAAGUGUGUGAGAAUGACUAGUUUUCUCACAUUGUGACAAUGUGUAAUUCACACAGUAUGCUCUUUGUUUGUCUUGAAACUUCUUAAUCUGGGUGUGAUACCAACUACUUUUAAUGUACUAUAUGUAUUUUUACUGUAGCGUGUGGGCGUGUGUGUGUGUGUCAGCGUGAGUGCAUGUGUUUGUGUGCAUGUGCUCUAUUUGUGUGUGUGUGUGUGAGUGUGUUUGCAUGUGUCUGUCUGACAAAACACAUUUGUAAUGGGCCUGAAGCUACUAGCUGCUUUUCAGUGGUUUUCUCAUCGCUGCACAGAUUUGAAAUGCCUGAAUCUCUUCUUUUAGCACACUGGAUGUACCAGACAAAGGAUUAAAAAAAUAUAUAUUUACAAAUGAUUCUUAGCAUUUGUCACAACCUCAUUGAAGCACCAGUUAGGUGGGGCCGGGUUUUUGUGAUUUAGAUAAUCACAAGAACGUCGCUGGAAAUUAAUGGUGUGUAGUUUACUAAAUGAUGCCUGCUGGCACUAAUUAAACCGUCCCGAUGCCUACUGCCCCAUCAUCUGAUACUUCAGCAAAUUACAGCAAAUGCUAAUAAUUAUGUGCAAAUAGCUUUUUUUUUUUACCCAGGUCUGGAUUCUACUAACAGUAUCUGACUAAUAUCUAACAAUACUAAUGUCUGCUAACAGUGGGAUGAUUACUAACCUGUCCUCUGAAUGCUGAUGGCUGGCCUUGUUCUCUCUAACCCACUGACUAACCCUCUGCUUUAUGCCCGCAGUCCGACGCACACACUCCUCUCUCAUGAUCCUGCAAUCCUUCUUCUAGAAAUCAAGAUGAAAUAUUAAAGAAGAAAAAAUCAAUGGAAAACUGUUAAAGUGAGCAAGUCAAGAAGGGUUUCAGGACUUGGGAAGGGAAAUGUUAUUAACCCCUAGAUGAAAAGAGGAGCACAAACAGCUGCUGAUAUCAAACUGGGUUGACCACAUACUUUAGAAGAAUCCUCACAAAACCAAUUAUGAUCGGAUCCCUAUAGGAUAUCACCGCACUGUGUCGCACUUCACAUGCUAAAUUCAUAUCUCCAGAGGCCGUCUUUCUGUCUCUGCCUGUGCGCUGUGUGGUCAACCCUCGCAGGUGAGUGCCCGGCUUGUUGUCACCAUAGGCCAAGCAAACCUCCACUACUAACUUAUUAAUGGUGUUUAUACUAACAGUGGCGAGGCUGUAAAGGCCCACCUGUUGCUCUUACUAACAUCUGUGUUCUUUCUGACUGAAACAUCCUGAUGUCUGUAAUCAAAUUACUCCCGUCUCUUUGUUCAUCUUUAAUUAAAUCAAAGCAUGCCUUGUGGUACUAGUGAUGUUUAUUAAGUUACAUUACAUUGAAGCUUUUAUCUAAAACAUUUUCCAGUACCAUGAGUUUAUGCUUUUUUUUAAGCGAUGGGAAAUAAGUCUGUAACCGUGUCAGUGACAUGCUCAACAGAAACCCUUAUAAACAAGCUACUAACGUCUCCUAAAGUUAAAUUAACAGGUACUAACCAAAGAGCUUUUAUUAGCUCUCUACAAACUAACAAACUAACCCACUAAUAAACUAAUAAUCUAACAACAACUAACUAAAAUCACUAACUUUUGUGCUGAGUGGCAGAAUUAGUGAAGCACCCUGAUUUUGAGGAGUUGCGUCACUUAUUGAAUGUACUAACAGAAUUAAGUUUUUAUUAAGAGUUACUGAUGUGAUUGAAUGUGCCUGUUUGUGUUCAUGUGUGUGAGAGAGAGCACAGAAGUGUGUGUGUGUGUGUGCUUGUAUUACUCAUGUUGUGGGGACAUAAAUCUGUUUACACAGUCACGUUAUGGGGACUUGCCUUCCCUUUUUGGGGACACAAUUCAAGUCCCCAUAAUGUAUAUUAUUACAUUUUAGGGUGAGACUUGGUUUAAGGUUAGGUUAAGGUUAGGGAAAGGGUUUAAGCAAGUCGUGGUUAUGGUUAGGUUAAGUCUCCAGGAAAUACAUUUAAGUCAAUGUAAUGUCCUCUAAAGUGAUGGAAACAUGACUGUGUGUGAGUGUGUGUUUGUUUUGUUCUCUCAAACAAUAAUUUAACAUACCAAUGCAGAUUAUAUUCAUUGGAGCAGUUUUUGCCAAAUGUAUCCACUUUCAGCUGAGCACCGGGAUACCUGUAAAACAUACCCUGGACCUCUCAAACAAUACACUGUGUGUAAUAUCAUAUACAUGUAAAGAAAAAUAAAUCUAAUGUACACAACUAUUUUUGUACUUUAUUGCUAAUUUAUCAGUUGUCUUUAUUACAUACUUUUGUAAUAAACAAUUUUCACAUAUAAAUUAAA